rnacentral:rRNA from 1 species
AUUGAACGCUGGCGGCAUGCCUUACACAUGCAAGUCGAACGGCAGCACGGGAGCAAUCCUGGUGGCGAGUGGCGAACGGGUGAGUAAUAUAUCGGAACGUGCCCAGUCGUGGGGAUAACGUAGCGAAAGCUACGCUAAUACCGCAUACGAUCUAUGGAUGAAAGCGGGGGGAUCGCAAGACCUCGCGCGAUUGGAGCGGCCGAUAUCAGAUUAGGUAGUUGGUGAGGUAAAGGCUCGCCAAGCCGACGAUCUGUAGCUGGUCUGAGAGGACGACCAGCCACACUGGGACUGAGACACGGCCCAGACUCCUACGGGAGGCAGCAGUGGGGAAUUUUGGACAAUGGGCGCGAAGCCUGAUCCAGCAAUGCCGCGUGCAGGAUGAAGGCC